GGGUCGCUAUGGGUCGCAAUGUGUCGGUGUGCGUCCCCCUGGUGGCUGUGUGUCUCUAUGUGUCUCAGUGUGUCUCUAUGGGUCCCUAUGGGUCUCAGUGGGUCGCUAUGGGUCGCACUGUGUCGGUGUGUGUCCCCAUGGUGGCUGUGUGUCUCUAUGUGUCUCUAUGGGUCCCUAUGUGUCCCUAUGGGUCUCUGUGUGUCCCUAUGUGUCCCUAUGUGUCCCUAUGUGUCUCUGUGCGUCUCUAUGGGUCCCUAUCUGUCCCUAUGGGUCCCUAUGGGUCCCUAUGUGUCUCUAUGUGUC
ensembl:lncRNA